GGUCUUAUGGUCUAGUGGUAUGAUUCUCGCUUAGGGUAUCUAAGCAUGCUUGCGAGAGGCCCCGCGUUCGAAUCGCGGUAAGACCC